GCCGGCGUAGCUCAGUUGGCAGAGCAGCUGUUUUGUAAACAGCAGGUCAUCGGUUCGAACCCGGUCGCCGGCU
rnacentral:tRNA from 1 species